rnacentral:rRNA from 1 species
GAUGAAGGCCUUAGGGUUGUAAAGCUCUUUCGCUGGGGAAGAUAAUGACGGUACCCAGCANAAGAAGCCCCGGCUAACUUCGUGCCANCNGCCGCGGUAAUACGAAGGGGGCUAGCGUUGUUCGGAAUUACUGGGCGUAAAGCGCACGUNNGCGGACUUGUCAGUCAGAGGUGAAAUCCCGAAGCUUAACUUCGGAACUGCCUUUGAUACUGCANGUCUUGAGGAUGAGAGAGGUAAGUGGAACUGCGAGUGUAGAGGUGAAAUUCGUAGAUAUUCNCAAGAACACCAGUGGCGAAGGCGGCUUACUGGCUCAUUUCUGACNCUGAGGUGCGAAAGCGUGGGGAGCAAACAGGAAUUAGAUACCCUGNUAGUCC